GGAGGAUCCGAGCGUUAUCCGGAUUUAUUGGGUUUAAAGGGAGCGUAGAUGGAUGUUUAAGUCAGUUGUGAAAGUUUGCGGCUCAACCGUAAAAUUGCAGUUGAUACUGGAUAUCUUGAGUGCAGUUGAGGCAGGCGGAAUUCGUGGUGUAGCGGUGAAAUGCUUAGAUAUCACGAAGAACUCCGAUUGCGAAGGCAGCCUGCUAAGCUGCAACUGACAUUGAGGCUCGAAAGUGUGGGUAUCAAACAGGAUUAGAUAC
rnacentral:rRNA from 1 species